GACGAACGCUGGCGGCGUGCCUAAUACAUGCAAGUAGAACGCUGAAGGAGGAGCUUGCUCUUCUGGAUGAGUUGCGAACGGGUGAGUAACGCGUAGGUAACCUGCCUGGUAGCGGGGGAUAACUAUUGGAAACGAUAGCUAAUACCGCAUAAGAGUAGAUGUUGCAUGACAUUUACUUAAAAGGUGCAAUUGCAUCACUACCAGAUGGACCUGCGUUGUAUUAGCUAGUUGGUGGGGUAAUGGCUUACCAAGGCGACGAUACAUAGCCGACCUGAGAGGGUGAUCGGCCACACUGGGACUGAGACACGGCCCAGACUCCUACGGGAGGCAGCAGUAGGGAAUCUUCGGCAAUGGACGGAAGUCUGACCGAGCAACGCCGCGUGAGUGAAGAAGGUUUUCGGAUCGUAAAGCUCUGUUGUAAGAGAAGAACGAGUGUGAGAGUGGAAAGUUCACACUGUGACGGUAUCUGACCAGAAAGGGACGGCUAACUACGUG
rnacentral:rRNA from 1 species